UUAAAUAUGAGUUUCUUUAAAUUCACAUUUGCUUCGCCCAAUGUUUCUUUUAGGAUAAGCCAGUCUAAUUGAAGUUUUGAGUGUCUGGAAUGACAGCUCAAUUUUUUUGAGCAUUGGCUCCUCCUCUUUUAGAAUUGGGAUGACUUUCAUGCACCUAGAUUGUAACUCUAUUUGAACAGGAUUAUAUUUCUGCCUCCGGUCUACACUAGCACCAGGAAAUUGUGUGCUAUAAAGACAGGCAUUUAGGGAAACAUUUAUAAACUAAAUUGUUUUUUGGGUUUUUUUUUGGUUUUUUUUCUUGCUGAGCCAUCCUGUAGGCCCAGAGUUGGCACAAGAAAGAUUCCAAUUCAUUCUGCCUCAGCACUGCUGCCUCAAAUGGAGAAAAUUUCUGCUUACAGAUGAGUCACUCAGGACAAGGCCCAGCAUGUUUUUCAAGGCCAUCUGACUUCAUGGUGAUUCAUACCAGCAGAGAACACAUGGAUCUCAGUCUCAACCAAGAAAUCAUGUGGAAAAUGUCCUCUCUUGUAAAAUGGGAGAACACUAGACCUGCCUCAAAUGCUACAGCUGCCUCAGAUUGUGUAAAAUCUUAGACACUGCAUUGGCGAUCAAACUGAGAAAAGCCAUCUUCAGCCCCCAACCCUCAAGGUCUGCCUGUGCCACAGGGAAACUCUGUCAUCUACCUGGGUAGUGGCCAACAUCACAGAGGCAGGAAAUUAUGACACUGAUGAAGCCUCUAGGGUGGUGCCUGAGACGACCUGCUCUGUGGGCUGCGAGUUCUGGUGGGGAACAACAGUGGAAGCUGAGGCAGAAACCUGGGAUGCCAGUCGACUUCCCGCGCAUGGAGAGAGAAGAAAUGUUGCUUGGGAAAAUGGAAGAAGAAAUGAAGCAAAAAAUGCAAGAAAUGGAA